UCACUUACCUGGACGGGGUCAAUGGUUGAUCAAGAAGGUCCAUGGCCUAAGUUGGCGACCUCCAUUGCACUCAGGAGGGGCGUUAGCUUAAGGUCGGCCCAAGUGGUCGAGCCUACGUCAUAAUUUGUGCUAGUGGGGGCCUGCGUUCGCGCGGCCCCCGU